GAGAAAAUUGUAAUUCAUAAUAUUCCAUUCCGGCGAGCUGGCUAACAAAUCCUUGGGGAGCCGCAUCCUUGCUCUUGCUCUGGGAUCUCCUCCACCUUUGUUGUUGCUAAAAAUAGCACAUGCUUCAAGGUUGUCCUGUCGCGUGGAAGGGGGUGGUGACUGGUGGGUGGUGGCUGGUGGAUCUGGGGGCUUCCUUCUGCCACCGUUGUGGCUCCUUUAACGUGACAAACUUUUGGCCAACACAAUUCCCGCAAGACAGCGACAUGAGAUGGAAUAAGACUCAAGGAACGGUGGGUGGCGACAGGUGACCAAGGAGGCGACAAAAUACUAUAAUGCAAAGUCAGUUUCCUGGCAGUUUCACGGAACUUUGCAAACUUUUAGUAAGUCGUUUUAGCUGGACAAUGACAAAAAAGCUUCUUUUUAUUUUACAACCAAAAGAAAGUGGAAAUAAACUAUAAUAUGGACCGCAAAAACAUAUAAAAUGCAUUAAAAACUUCAAAGCAAAUGGGAGUAGAUGCGCAAAUAACCAGUUUUUAUUAUUCUUAAGUUAACUAAUCCAUUAAAAUAAUCACCUUUAAUCAGUAUUAACUUAAAUAAUCAUUUCACUUCGUGUUGCUUGCAAUUUCAGGUAUGUUCCACUACGUCACAUCACAUGAACUAUUCGAAUUCAAAAGACGCAAAAUGAAACUUAUCUCGGCAUGGAGGAUUUGUCAACUACCAAAUCCGGAUCAGUGUCACCAGUGUCUUUUCAUCACGUGACUGCAAGCACUUUGUAAUCCUUGACGAUCUGCUCGUGAUCACGUUUGUCGCGCUACUGAAGUUCCAAGCAGUUCGAAAUGUCCGUAUUACCCUUGACGCCUCAAAAAUACAGAGCUACACAUAAUUGUGUUUAUAUAUAUGCACGAUUUCGGACUGUACAUACGAUGUAAUAAAAUAUAUAUGACUGAUACUAAAGCAAAUAAGAAA